rnacentral:rRNA from 1 species
CCUACGGGUGGCAGCAGUGGGGAAUUUUGGUCAAUGGGCGCAAGCCUGAUCCAGCUAUUCCGCGUGUGGGAAGACGGUCUUCGGGAUUUUAACCAUCUUUGUAGAGAACGCAAAGUCUAUUGCUAAUACCGGUAGAUGAUGACGGUACUCUAAGGCUACGCACCGGCUAACUACGGGCCACCCGCUGCGGUCAAACGUAGGGUGCGUGCGUUAAUCGGAAUUGUUGGGCGGAAAGGUUGUGCGGGUGGUUUUGCCAGAUUGAUGUGAAAGCCCCGGGCCUCAACUGGGAAAGGCAGACAUGACUGGAAGACUAGAGAUCGUCAGAGGGAGGCGGAAUUCCAAGUGUAGCAGUGAAAUGCGUAGAUAUUUGGAAGAACACCGAUGGCGAAGGCAGCCCCCUGGGGCGCAACUGACGCUCAGACGCGAAAGCGUGGGGAGCGAACAGGAUUAGAUACCCUAGUAGUC